rnacentral:misc_RNA from 1 species
GAUGAAGAACGCAGCGAAAUGCGAUAAGUAGUGUGAAUUGCAGAAUUCAGUGAAUCAUCGAAUCUUUGAACGCACAUUGUGCCCCUUGGUAUUCCAUGGGGCAUGCCUGUUCGAGCGUCAUUUGUACCUUCAAGCUUUGCUUGGUGUUGGGUGUUUGUCCUGAGGGACUCGCCUUAAAGUAAUUGGCAGCCAGUGUUUGGUUUUGAAGCGCAGCACAAGUCGCGAUUCAAGGCUAUACACCAGCUUCCACAAGCCUUUUUCACUUUUGACCUCGGAUCAGGUAGGGAUACCCGCUGAACUUAAGCAUAUCAAUAAGCGGAGGA